rnacentral:rRNA from 1 species
AUUGAACGCUGGCGGCAUGCCUUACACAUGCAAGUCGAACGGCAGCACGGGGGCAACCCUGGUGGCGAGUGGCGAACGGGUGAGUAAUACAUCGGAACGUGCCCGGUAGUGGGGGAUAGCUCGGCGAAAGCCGGAUUAAUACCGCAUACGACCCACGGGUGAAAGCGGGGGAUCGCAAGACCUCGCGCUAGCGGAGCGGCCGAUGUCAGAUUAGGUUGUUGGUGGGGUAAAGGCCACCAAGCCGACGAUCUGUAGCUGGUCUGAGAGGACGACCAGCCACACUGGGACUGAGACACGGCCCAGACUCCUACGGGAGGCAGCAGUGGGGAAUUUUGGACAAUGGGCGCAAGCCUGAUCCAGCCAUGCCGCGUGCGGGAAGAAGGCCU